GAUGAACGCUGGCGGCGUGCUUAACACAUGCAAGUCGAACGAAGCACUUUAUUUGAUUUCCUUCGGGACUGAUUAUUUUGUGACUGAGUGGCGGACGGGUGAGUAACGCGUGGGUAACCUGCCUUGUACAGGGGGAUAACAGUUGGAAACGGCUGCUAAUACCGCAUAAGCGCACAGCAUCGCAUGAUGCAGGGUGAAAAACUCCGGUGGUAUAAGAUGGACCCGCGUUGGAUUAGCUAGUUGGUGAGGUAACGGCCCACCAAGGCGACGAUCCAUAGCCGACAUGAGAGGGUGACCGGCCACAUUGGGACUGAGACACGGCCCAGACUCCUACGGGAGGCAGCAGUGGGGAAUAUUGCACAAUGGCCGAAAGCCUGAUGCAGCGACGCCGCGUGAGCGAAGAAGUAUUUCGGUAUGUAAAGCUCUAUCAGCAGGGAAGAUAAUGACGGUACCUGAAGAAGAAGCACCGGCUAAAUACGUG
rnacentral:rRNA from 1 species